AGAGCGAACGCUGGCGGCAGGCCUAACACAUGCAAGUCGAACGCGUGUAGCAAUACACGAGUGGCGCACGGGUGAGUAACGCGUGGAUAUCUGCCUUUUGGUUCGGAAUAACCCCGGGAAACUGGGGCUAAUACCGGAUGGUUCCUACGGGAUAAAGAUUUAUCGCCAAAAGAUGAGUCCGCGUACGAUUAGCUAGUUGGUGAGGUAAUGGCUCACCAAGGCGACGAUCGUUAGCUGGUCUGAGAGGACGAUCAGCCACACUUGGACUGAGACACGGCCCAGACUCCUACGGGAGGCAGCAGUGGGGAUAUUGGACAAUGGGGGCAACCCUGAUCCAGCCAUGCCGCGUGAGUGAUGAAGGCCUUCGGGUUGUAAAGCUCGUUUUGGCGGGGACGAUGAUGACGGUACCCGCAGAAUAAGCCCCGGCUAACUUCGCGCCAGCAGCCGC
rnacentral:rRNA from 1 species